CUUUUUAAGUCCUGUUUCUACUAUAAUUUUUAUACCGACUCAGAGGUUGCUGCAAAUUUGCUACAGCGGGGUGGCUGAAAGCCACACUAUUACCCGCAACUAAGAGAAUAAGUACUAGAGAGAUGGGGAACAAGCAAACUAGUCAAUCUGAUCAUGACAUGGCAUUCUAUGAAGA